rnacentral:lncRNA from 1 species
GGAAGGGCUGGUGUUAUCUUCAGAAUCUCAAAGAGCCCUAAACAGUGGAUACACCACAGGUCCUAGAGCUGGAGCGAUCUGUGCAGCACAUGCACUUAGAAUGACUGCCUGCGGAGCCCUUUCACAGUCGCAGCAAGGGCAGGGGAGGCUAGAUCUGGGCCUGCCUGGAGAGGCUCCCUCCCUUUCUCCAGGGCUAGAAUUGUGUGUGUCUGGAUUAGGACCCUUCCACUCCCAGAUGCUGGCAGUGUAGAUUGGCUAACACAAAAUGUGGAAGCAAAUUCAUUAUUGAAUAUUAAUUGCCUGGUGGUUUUUAAAAAAGCAGGUCUACACUGAGUCAAGCAGCAAUAUGUAAACUCAGAAGUGUGAGGGAAACUAGGAAUGGACUCCCUGGUAGAUACAACUGGAUCUCUGAUUUCAUCCCAGAGACAAGAAAAGCCAGGACUGGAAUGGGAGUAAGGCUGGGGCAGGGUCCUGCAGAGGCUGACAGGCAGGCAGGCAAGCAGGCAGGGGCUGAAGCCCCCAGCUUCACCAGGUCUGAGGAAUGGGCUUUCCCCAGUUUCCCCUUCAUUGUGCCUGCCUAGCUGGCCGGAGAACAUCCUGGAAUGUUUGGGAGCCAUCCCAGCCAUUCAAGCCCCAGGAACCAAACACCCCCUUACUCUGACCACCUUGCAGAGCCCCGGUGGUACAGCCCUGAGCAGGGGUCCCAACCCACAGGACACAGGCCUGGCCCUGAGUGGAUCCCCAGUGGGGUGAGGAAGCUGCAAUUGGGUGAGGAGGUGGAACGAAGACACAGCCUUGGAGGCAGAUAAGGGGGUGUUGGGUGUAGCAUGGGAGACAGUGGCCUGAGAGGCCAUGGGUGUCCCAGGGGACCUCCCCACCCCUGCUGACCAACUCUGCACUGCAAAUGUCCUGCCUUCCAGCCUGGUUGGGCCUCUGACAACCUGCCCCUCCUCUGACAGAAUGCCUGAGCCUGCUGGCCAGCUGGGCAGGUGGUGGGGAAGGCUGUUCAGAUGCCUUCUGGGAGGGGUCAAGGGAGGGCUGAUGGGUGGGCCUCCUUCACCCGCCCCAGGGGAGGAUGGCCUCAGACUCAAGUGGCCACGUUGUCCGGCCACAGAGCUGAAAUCCAUGACGAUCUUGGUGCUCACGCUCGGAGAGUUCAGCCUGGCCGCCACUGUCACUGUAUUCUUCCUCUACACCGCUGAGCUCCUCCCCACCGUGCUCAGGGCGACAGGUCUGGGGCUGGUGUCUCUGGCCUCGGUGGCUGGAGCCAUCUUGUCCCUGACAAUCAUCAGCCAGACCCCCUCCCUCCUGCCCAUCUUUCUCUGCUGCGUCUUAGCCAUCGUGGCCUUUUCCCUCUCCUCCCUGCUGCCGGAAACGCGAGAUCAGCCCCUCUCCGAGAGCCUGAAGCACUCCUCACAGAUAAGGUAGGUGUGGGAGCCUCCUGGGCUGUGCCAGCAUGGGGCCUGGCUCUGAAGCCUUGGCACAGAGAGCGUGCGGGGCAUUGUCCAUCCCCGCCCCUCUGCCGGAGAGCCUGUGACUCGAAGGCUGCCAUGUCCGCAGCAGUCUCUCCGCUCCUCUGGCUGCUGCUGUCUACCUGCUCCCACCCAGCCUCUGCCAGUCCCCAUCCUGCUGCCCCUCCUGACCCGGACUGGGCCAUGUCAUCUC